AUAAUGGGUCAGCGACUUAUAUUCUGUAGCAAGGUUAACCGAAUAGGGGAGCCGAAGGGAAACCGAGUCUUAACUGGGCGUUAAGUUGCAGGGUAUAGACCCGAAACCCGGUGAUCUAGCCAUGGGCAGGUUGAAGGUUGGGUAACACUAACUGGAGGACCGAACCGACUAAUGUUGAAAAAUUAGCGGAUGACUUGUGGCUGGGGGUGAAAGGCCAAUCAAACCGGGAGAUAGCUGGUUCUCCCCGAAAGCUAUUUAGGUAGCGCCUCGUGAAUUCAUCUCCGGGGGUAGAGCACUGUUUCGGCAAGGGGGUCAUCCCGACUUACCAACCCGAUGCAAACUGCGAAUACCGGAGAAUGUUAUCACGGGAGACACACGGCGGGUGCUAACGUCCGUCGUGAAGAGGGAAACAACCCAGACCGCCAGCUAAGGUCCCAAAGUCAUGGUUAAGUGGGAAACGAUGUGGGAAGGCCCAGACAGCCAGGAUGUUGGCUUAGAAGCAGCCAUCAUUUAAAGAAAGCGUAAUAGCUCACUGGUCGAGUCGGCCUGCGCGGAAGAUGUAACGGGGCUAAACCAUGCACCGAAGCUGCGGCAGCGACACUAUGUGUUGUUGGGUAGGGGAGCGUUCUGUAAGCCUGUGAAGGUGUGCUGUGAGGCAUGCUGGAGGUAUCAGAAGUGCGAAUGCUGACAUAAGUAACGAUAAAGCGGGUGAAAAGCCCGCUCGCCGGAAGACCAAGGGUUCCUGUCCAACGUUAAUCGGGGCAGGGUGAGUCGACCCCUAAGGCGAGGCCGAAAGGCGUAGUCGAUGGGAAACAGGUUAAUAUUCCUGUACUUGGUGUUACUGCGAAGGGGGGACGGAGAAGGCUAUGUUGGCCGGGCGACGGUUGUCCCGGUUUAAGCGUGUAGGCUGGUUUUCCAGGCAAAUCCGGAAAAUCAAGGCUGAGGCGUGAUGACGAGGCACUACGGUGCUGAAGCAACAAAUGCCCUGCUUCCAGGAAAAGCCUCUAAGCAUCAGGUAACAUCAAAUCGUACCCCAAACCGACACAGGUGGUCAGGUAGAGAAUACCAAGGCGCUUGAGAGAACUCGGGUGAAGGAACUAGGCAAAAUGGUGCCGUAACUUCGGGAGAAGGCACGCUGAUAUGUAGGUGAAGCGACUUGCUCGUGGAGCUGAAAUCAGUCGAAGAUACCAGCUGGCUGCAACUGUUUAUUAAAAACACAGCACUGUGCAAACACGAAAGUGGACGUAUACGGUGUGACGCCUGCCCGGUGCCGGAAGGUUAAUUGAUGGGGUCAGCCGCAAGGCGAAGCUCUUGAUCGAAGCCCCGGUAAACGGCGGCCGUAACUAUAACGGUCCUAAGGUAGCGAAAUUCCUUGUCGGGUAAGUUCCGACCUGCACGAAUGGCGUAAUGAUGGCCAGGCUGUCUCCACCCGAGACUCAGUGAAAUUGAACUCGCUGUGAAGAUGCAGUGUACCCGCGGCAAGACGGAAAGACCCCGUGAACCUUUACUAUAGCUUGACACUGAACAUUGAGCCUUGAUGUGUAGGAUAGGUGGGAGGCUUUGAAGCGUGGACGCCAGUCUGCGUGGAGCCGACCUUGAAAUACCACCCUU
rnacentral:rRNA from 1 species